ACGAACGCUGGCGGCGUGCCUAAUACAUGCAAGUAGGACGCACAGUUUAUACCGUAGCUUGCUACACCAUAGACUGUGAGUUGCGAACGGGUGAGUAACGCGUAGGUAACCUGCCUAUUAGAGGGGGAUAACUAUUGGAAACGAUAGCUAAUACCGCAUAACAGUAUGUAACACAUGUUAGAUGCUUGAAAGAUGCAAUUGCAUCGCUAGUAGAUGGACCUGCGUUGUAUUAGCUAGUAGGUAGGGUAAUGGCCUACCUAGGCGACGAUACAUAGCCGACCUGAGAGGGUGAUCGGCCACACUGGGACUGAGACACGGCCCAGACUCCUACGGGAGGCAGCAGUAGGGAAUCUUCGGCAAUGGGGGGAACCCUGACCGAGCAACGCCGCGUGAGUGAAGAAGGUUUUCGGAUCGUAAAGCUCUGUUGUUAAGGAAGAACGAGUGUGAAAAUGGAAAGUUCAU
rnacentral:rRNA from 1 species